AGCAAAAUGAUCUCAGCCUUUCAUGGCCACUGAGCUGGGUGGAUCUUUGACUGUGGGGCCAACCAUGAUGUAUGUGUUUUAUAUCCACACCGUCCAUCCGUAUUGCCAGAUUAUUUUAUGGAAAUGAGCCCGAUAAUAAAGCAGAUCCACAUCUCAGGUUGAGCACGCUACAGAAAAAAUGUUGAUUGAUGCCCACAAUUAGAAACUUUUUGGGGCCACACAAGUUUUAGAUCAAGCUGAGAUUUAUGUUUUCCCUUCAUCUAGGUUAGUGAGACCUUAAUAACAGGUUGGAUGCAAAUAAACAUUGCGAUGGGCCUUAGAAAGUUUUAAAUGGUGAGUGUUCAAUCACUACUAUUUCUUGUGGUGUGGUCUAUCUCGGCUUUGGAUCUGCUUCGUUUUUAGUUCAUGCUCUUAAAAUGAGCUGGAAAAACGAAUGGACAAUAUGGGGUAUAAAACAUAUACAUCACAGUUGCCUCCCCCUUCCUAGAUCCACUGAAUCUGUGUCCACAGGGAGAGAACAUGGAACCUUACAGCCAUGUCACGUUGCUUUUCUGCAAAAUAAUUUUGUGGGACCCAAUAUUCAAUCAGAAGAACAAAUGCCAGAGAAGAACUGAUAAAGGAACGAGUGAUGAAUAGUGCACCUUUGGGAUUAUGGCCCAUCUACAACAGGACCCACUAAUCGGAUAGUCUGGAUCAACAACACUUGCAGUGCCUGACUAUUAUCACAUGCUAAAUCUUGGAGGAAGGUUAGCAAAUUCAGGGCAGUUUCGUGAGAGGCAUUGAGCGGCCUGGGUAUUUCUAUGCCACCACCAGGGCGAGGGCAAGACAAACUCAUCUUCCACAAGGGGUUGUUUGGCACCAUGGAUUUGGAGGCUUUGAGGGGAUUUCAAAUCCCUUGUAUGUUUGGCAUCAUAAAGUAAAUGGGGGUUUCAAAUCCAAGGUGAAAUGUUGGAUUACAUUAUAAAAUCCUUCUAAGAGUUGUAUGUGUAACAUGUGUCACUAAGCAAUUAAUCUAUUGGCCACAUGGCCCACUGAAAUGAUAUCCCAAAACAAUCAGAUUAUCAAUUCCAUCACUAUAAUUACUGUAA